rnacentral:rRNA from 1 species
GACAGAGGUUGCAAACGUUGUUCGGAAUUACUGGGCAUAAAGCGCACGUAGGCGGUCCGUUAAGUCAUGUGUGAAAUCCCCCGGCUCAACCGGGGAAUUGCGCCUGAUACUGGCGGGCUAGAGGUCGAUAGGGGUGAGCGGAACUCCAGGUGGAGCGGUGAAAUGCGUAGAUAUCUGGAGGAACACCGGUGGCGAAGGCGGCAUCCUGGACCGGCAUUGACGCUGAGGCGCGAAAGCUAGGGGAGCAAACGGG